CUUUCCUUUCCAAAUUAAGAGCUCAGUUUUGUAUUACUUACACGGAUGUAAAACUUAGCUCUGUGGUUUUGGAUGCAUCGAGAGCUCAUUCACUAAAUAUUUUUGGAGCACUUAGUAGUUUCCAGGAUCUUCCAGGCUUGGCAAGGAAUGAGAGAGAAUGGAAUAGAAGAAGUCAAGAUUGGACAGGACAUGAGUUAGGAGAGAGGGUGAUGGCUUGGACCAAGGUGAUGGUCCUGGAGACAAAGAGAAAUUUGCAGCUUUCAGAUGUGUUUUUACAUGGAAGGAAGAACUGACCAGACAUGCUGAUGGGCUGAACAAGAGGAAUCCAGCCUAAGGAGACAGUCAGAAGUGCUCACCAAGAUUCAGAGGUUCUUCAUUGCCUUACCAUAUUUGUAAGUCACAAACUGGAAGCUACCACAGGGUCCAGCCUUAUGAGAGUGGUGCAGUCAAUCCCAGAUCUUCCAUAUGACAGGGAGCUGGUCAUCCUUCAAAGUGCUGCUUACUAAGAUGACAAUGAGACUGGAAAAUUCUCAUUAAAUAAACAAAUGGCUGGGUAAGUGCUUACUGCAUGGUGUAUUCAUGUUAGUAGAGAAAUAUCUACAAAAUACGCUCGUGGUAAACUCUAUAAAUCAUGAAAAUGUAAAACUGCAAGAAAUCUCAAGGUCAUCGUUUCAAAAUGCAUGCUAUAGUUGAGCAAAAGAAAAAAUCAGUGAAGACUAAGAGGCUGAAGAGUUCCUCAUUUAAGCUGUGACAUUUGAUCCUAUUAGUGGGAAAAGACCUGAACUGAGAGGACCUGUGUCCUCGCCCCUGGUUUUGUUGCUGUUGCUUUGCUGGGUGACCUUGGAGACACCAUUGAACGUCUCUUGGCUCAGCUUUUUCACGGUUAAAUGAGACAGUUGGUAAUUCCUUGUUUUUCAGAGUUUGCAUGGUUUGGAUGCCAUUGGCUCUUCCUUAUAGCAGGGAGUUUUUCAGCUGCAAAGAGCGGUGGAGUUCCUCUCUCCCAGCCCACUCAUAAUUCGGCUUAUGUGCAGAAGGCAGAAGACCUUCCCAAGGGUACACAAUGCUUCUGUAAAUAGCAGUUUAUAGACUUCAGCAGAAGAACCAGAAGCAAACAGAGGAAGUGAAAAUGACCACUAGAAGAAAAACUGAUGACAGAAAAACAAAAUCAAUUAGACUUUAUCUUUAAAAAAAUCAACUAUGACUUUAAUUGAUUUCAAAUAAAAUAUUUCGAUCUUUAUGAGAUACAUUAGAUCGUUGAAAGUCAUGCUUACA
rnacentral:lncRNA from 10 species